rnacentral:rRNA from 1 species
GACGAACGCUGGCGGCGUGCUUAACACAUGCAAGUCGAACGGUGAAAGCGGAGCUUGCUCCGCUGGAUCAGUGGCGAACGGGUGAGUAACACGUGGGCAACCUGCCCCUCACUUCGGGAUAACUCCGGGAAACCGGGGCUAAUACCGGAUAUGACCUCCUUGCGCCUCCUUGGAGGUGGAAAGCUGUUCGGUGAGGGAUGGGCCCGCGGCCUAUCAGCUUGUUGGUGAGGUAGUGGCUAACCAAGGCGACGACGGGUAGCCGGCCUGAGAGGGCGAACGGCCACACUGAGACUGAGACACGGCCCAGACUCCUACGGGAGGCAGCAGUGGGGAAUAUUGCGCAAUGGGCGAAAGCCUGACGCAGCAACGCCGCGUGCGGGAUGACGGCCUUCGGGUUGUAAACCGCUUUCAGCAGGGAAGAAGCCGCAAGGUGACGGUACCUGCAGAAGAAGCACCGGCUAACUACGUGCCAGCAGCCGCAGUAA